rnacentral:rRNA from 1 species
CCUACGGGAGGCAGCAGUGGGGAAUAUUGCACAAUGGGGGAAACCCUGAUGCAGCGACGCCGCGUGAGUGAAGAAGUAUUUCGGUAUGUAAAGCUCUAUCAGCAGGAACGAGACAAGACGGUACCUGACUAAGAAGCCCCGGCUAACUACGUGCCAGCAGCCGCGGUAAUACGUAGGGGGCAAGCGUUAUCCGGAAUCACUGGGUGGAAAGGGAGCGUAGACGGCUGAGCAAGCCUGAAGUGAAAGGCGGGGGCCCAACCCCCGGACUGCUUGGGGAACUGUACGGCUGGAGUGCAGGAGAGGUAAGUGGAAUUCCUAGUGUAGCGGUGAAAUGCGUAGAUAUUAGGAGGAACACCAGUGGCGAAGGCGGCUUACUGGACUGUAACUGACGUUGAGGCUCGAAAGCGUGGGGAGCAAACAGGAUUAGAUACCCGGGUAGUC